CUACGGGCCGCAGCAGUGAGGAAUAUUGCACAAUGGGGGAAACCCUGAUGCAGCAACGCCGCGUGGAGGAUGACGCAUUUCGGUGUGUAAACUCCUUUUAUGAGUCAAGAAAAUGACGGUAGCUCAUGAAUAAGCACCGGCUAACUCCGUGCCAGCAGCCGCGGUAAUACGGAGGGUGCAAGCGUUACUCGGAAUCACUGGGCGUAAAGGACGCGUAGGCGGGAUGUCAAGUCAGGUGUGAAAUCCUAUGGCUCAACCAUAGAACUGCACUUGAAACUGGCAACCUAGAGUAUGGGAGGGGGAGAUGGAAUUAGUGGUGUAGGGGUAAAAUCCGUAGAUAUCACUAGGAAUACCGAAAGCGAAGGCGAUCUCCUGGAACAUUACUGACGCUAAGGCGUGAAAGCGUGGGGAGCAAACAGGAUUAGAUACCCCCGUAGUC
rnacentral:rRNA from 1 species